GCCACGAUGGAGAUAUUUCUCAGCAAGAUGUGGGCACAACAGUCUCCGAUUGCCAGCCCGAGUCCUAUGUCACCUUUUCCACUCUCCUGCGACCGGACAUCAGAGCAGACUGUGGAACAGCCCCAAGGUUCUCUCCAUCUAUCCCGUCUCUCCCCUCCUCUCCUCUGCUGUGCACCUGCUCCUCCCCUCCUGCCUUCUUAUUAUCCUCAGACUCAGACUCAGAGAGAGCAGCGCUCCGUCCUCUCGCCAAGUGAUGUUCCUCGGCGGCUGCAGAGGAGAGGACCACUCCGGCUUCUUUCCUCUGGAAAACACGCACCGGAGGACCGGCAGAUCAUGGGAAUAUAACGGGGAAAUUGUGAGAGAGUGAGCCGGACGAGGGUAUAAUAGGACGACAAAGAAGAAGUCCCAUCCGAGAGAGGAGAGGCAGGAGGAGGAGGAGGAGGAGGAAGAGGGGGAGGUUUUCUUUCCUCCUGUACAUAGUUUGAAAUGGACUAAAGGUGUUUGUGUUGUUUGGUUUUGGAAGAUAAAAGCCAGAGGAUUUGAAGGAAUAGGUUGUUGGAGUUGGUGCAUGCAUGUGAUGGAGAUGGUGAUGGAGAUGAAGUGAGUGGAAGCGCACUGGGAACUUCAUUCUCGCCAUGAAAUCAGUGUUUUUCAGCCGCUUCUUCAUCCUGCUGCCCUGGGUCCUCAUAGUCAUCAUCAUGAUCGAUAUCGACAGUAAAAGGGCGAUCCGGGCUCCUGCAGCUGCUCGGACCGGCAAGGCGCAGCGGGCAGCCCGGACUGGAGCACCGGGAGUCACCACCCAGAACAAAACCGAGCUGCCGGUCAUCUACGCCAUCACUCCGACCUACACCCGUCCGGUGCAGAAAGCGGAGCUGACCCGGUUGGCCCACGCCUUCCGCCAGGUGCCCCGGUUCCACUGGAUCGUGGUGGAGGACUCGACGACGCGCACGGAGCUGGUGGCGCGCUUCUUGGCGCGGUGCGGCGUGCCGUUCACGCACCUGCACGUGUUCACUCCGCGCAGGUUCAAGCGCACCGGGAUGCCGCGCGCCACCGAGCAGAGGAACGUGGCUCUGACGUGGCUCCGGCAGCACCGGGGCAAGCGGGACACCGGGGUGGUUUUCUUCGCGGAUGAUGACAACACCUACAGCCUGGAGCUGUUCGAGGAGAUGCGUAGUACUCGGGGUGUUUCUGUUUGGCCGGUGGGAUUUGUAGGCGGCAGAGCGUAUGAGCGACCCCUGGUUUCCGGGGGUAAAGUUGUGGGCUGGUACACCGGCUGGAGACCGGACCGGACCUUCGCUACGGACAUGGCAGGUUUUGCGGUGAACCUCCAGGUGAUUCUGGCGAACCCGCGGGCGCAGUUCAAGCGGCGCGGCUCCCAGCCGGGGAUGCAGGAGUCCGACUUCCUCAAACAGAUCACCAAGGUCACCGAGUUGGAGCCCAAGGCCAACAAUUGCACCAGGGGAGGAGGAGAAAGAUAGAGCAGGAAGGAGGACAGAGAAGUAAAAAAACAAGAGCAAAGCCGUGAGAGAAAAAGUGGACGUGAUGAAUGAGGAAAAAUGGAGAGCAAACUGUGCAGAAGUAGAAAAGAGAAGUGCGAGUCCGGGGCAGCAGGGAGGGCACUCUGACUGCAUGAUUAGUGCUGGUUUGGCACACUCGCACAGAGAAACCACACCUCGCAAACGAGCUCAAACAUCGGAAAGACACUGUGGUCAUCGAGGUGUGAGAGGAAGAGCUGAGCGGCGGAUCCUAAAACCAGGUGCCGGUCGUGGCUGCCCUUCAUCUCUUGGCCGGGACUAACGACAGCAUGGGCCGAUGCAAUCUGUUCACGCUGGACACAGACUCUGAGGAGCUGCAUGAUUCAAGACUUCUGGCUGUCUGUCAAACGUGCUUACUGAGAACUGGACAACACUGAAUAUGUUCUUCUUACAAACUGGGAUUACUGGGACUGUUUAUUUCCUCCAUCCACGGCUUGUUGAUGUGAAAAGUAUAAAUGUAAAAAAGAUGAUCAUGUUGCUGAAGUGCCAUGUGAAUAAUUAAUGUCAUUUUAAUCAUUAAUACAUCAUUGUCAGAUUAACUGUGAUUCCGUGAUAUGAUUACCAUACAAUCAAUGCUCCUGGUCCCGAUAACGGUGUUGCAAUGCUGUUUCUUUAACAGCAGAUAAGAAGAUUGAUACAGAUUUUAUAAUGCAUUAAAGCCCCUGUCCAGUGUA